rnacentral:rRNA from 1 species
CGGGUGAGUACAACAUAGGAAAUCUGCCUUAGGGUGGGGGACAACAGAGGGAAACUUCUGCUAAUACCCCAUAUGAGCUUGGUUGAAAUACCAAUCUUGAAAGUUCCGGCGCCCUAAGAUGAGCCUGUGCCUGAUUAGCUAGUUGGUGGUGUAAUGGACUACCAAGGCAACGAUCAGUAGCUGGUUUGAGAGGAUGAUCAGCCACAAUGGGACUGAGACACGGCCCAUACUCCUACGGGAGGCAGCAG